AGAGUUUGAUCCUGGCUCAGGAUGAACGCUAGCGACAGGCCUAACACAUGCAAGUCGAGGGGCAACAGAGAAGUAGCAAUACUUUUGCUGGCGACCGGCGCACGGGUGAGUAACACGUAUGCAACCUGCCCGUAACAGGGGGAUAACCCGGAGAAAUCCGGCCUAAUACCGCAUAAUACCUAUUUUGCGCCUGCGGAAUAGGUUAAAGAAUAUCGGUUACGGAUGGGCAUGCGUUCCAUUAGUUAGUUGGUGAGGUAACGGCCCACCAAGACGACGAUGGAUAGGGGUUCUGAGAGGAAGGUCCCCCACAUUGGAACUGAGACACGGUCCAAACUCCUACGGGAGGCAGCAGUGAGGAAUAUUGGUCAAUGGGCGAUAGCCUGAACCAGCCAAGUCGCGUGAAGGAAGACGGCCUUACAGGUUGUAAACUUCUUUUAUCGGAGAGUAAAGUGCACUACGUGUAGUGUAUUGCAAGUAUCCGAAGAAAAAGCAUCGGCUAACUCCGUGCCAGCAGCCGCGGUAAUACGGAGGAUGCAAGCGUUAUCCGGAUUUAUUGGGUUUAAAGGGUGCGUAGGCGGAAUUCCAAGUCAGCGGUGAAAUCUCCAUGCUCAACAUGGACACUGCCGUUGAAACUGGCGUUCUAGAGUGUAAAUGAGGUAGGCGGAAUGCGUGGUGUAGCGGUGAAAUGCAUAGAUAUCACGCAGAACUCCGAUUGCGAAGGCAGCCUGCUGGGAUACAACUGACGCUGAGGCACGAAAGCGUGGGUAUCGAACAGGAUUAGAUACCCUGGUAGUCCACGCAGUAAACGAUGAAUACUAACUGUUUGCGAUACAAUGUAAGCGGUACAGCGAAAGCGUUAAGUAUUCCACCUGGGGAGUACGCCGGCAACGGUGAAACUCAAAGGAAUUGACGGGGGCCCGCACAAGCGGAGGAACAUGUGGUUUAA
rnacentral:rRNA from 1 species